AAGUUUUUUCUUGCCUUCUAUGCAAGUCGAGCGGUAUAUAGCUGCUUGCGCCUCUUGCUAACGACGGACGGAUGAGUAAUACCUAGGAAUCUGCCUGGUAGUGGGGGAUAACGUUCGGAAACGGACGCUAAUACCGCAUACGUCCUACCGUAUAAAGCAGGGGACCUUCUGGCCUUGCGCUAUCAGAUGAGCCUAGGUCGGAUUAGCUAGUUGGUGAGGUAAUGGUUCCCCAAGGCUACAAUCCGUAACUGGUCUGAGAGGAUGAUCAGUCACACUGGAACUGAGACACGGUCCCCACUCCUACACGAGGCACCAGUGGGGAAUAUUGGACAAUGGGCGAAAGCCUGAUCCAGCCAUGCCGCGUGUGUGAAGAAGGUCUUCGGAUUGUAAAGCACUUUAUGUUGGGAGGAAGGGCAUUAACCUAAUACGUUAGUGCUUUGACGUUACCGACAGAAUAAGCACCGGCUAACUCUGUGCCAGCAGCCGCGGUAAUACAGAGGGUGCAAGCGUUAAUCGUAAUUACUGGGCGUAAAGCGCGCGUAGGUGGUUUGUUAAGUUGAAUGAGAAAUCCCCGGGCUCAACCUGGGAACUGCAUCCCAAACUGCCGAGCUAGACUAUGGUAGAAGGUGGUGGAAUUUCCUGUGUAGCGGAGAAAAGCGUAGAUAUAAGAUGGAACACUAUUGGCGAAGGCGACCACCUGGACUGAUACUGACACUGAUGUGCUAAAGCGUGGGGAGCAAACAGGAUUAGAUACCCUGCUAGUCCACACCGCAAACGAUGUCAACUACCCGUUGGGAGUCUUGUACUCUUAUUGGCGCAGCUACCCCUUUUUUUGACCGCCUGGUGAGUACUGGCCGCUUGGUAAAACUCAAAUAAUUUGACGGGGGCGCGCCCAAGCAGGUGGAGUAUGGGGGUUAAUUUCUUAGGAGCGCUGAGGAACAUUACUAAGCUCUUGACAUCAUUGAACUUUCUUAUAUAGUUUGUUGCCUUCGUAACAUUGAUACUAGCGCUGCUUGGCUGUCGUCGCUCGCGUCGUGAGAAUGUUGGGUUUAGUUCCCUCACCAGCAGCGACCCUUGCUCUUA
rnacentral:rRNA from 1 species